rnacentral:snoRNA from 1 species
AGAGCAUGAUAAGGAUAACGUUGAAGCAAUUCUUUGUAUCUUUCCCAUGCUUCAUAUAACGAUUCCAAAUCUUGCUGCAUGAAUAAUGUGAUGUCAUUUCGCAUUUU